rnacentral:misc_RNA from 1 species
AAUAAUAAUAAUAAUAUUAAAUUUUAUUUAUUUAAAUUUAAUUUCAUAGAAGAAUGAGUUUCAUAAUCGUAAAAUUAAAUAUUUGUAUCGAGAUUUAUAUUUAAAGUAAUUUUUUUAGUUAUUUAAAUAAAUAAUAGAAAUGCCAAUCAUAAUUAGAAAGGAGAGAGAGAGAAUUGAGUGUGUACCCAUGGUGAGAGCACUAGCAAAG